rnacentral:rRNA from 1 species
AGCAUUCUCUGGUGUUGAAGGCCCUGCAAAGCAGCAUCGCGGUGGCGGAGCGUCGUUUGCGACGCCCAACGCACAAAACAAGCGGUGAGUGCUUUGGGGUGGGGUGACUGCGUACCUUUUGUAUAAUGGGUCAGCGACUUAUAUUCUGUAGCAAGGUUAACCGCAUAGGGGAGCCGUAGGGAAACCGAGUCUUAACCGGGCGUUAAGUUGCAGGGUAUAGACCCGAAACCCGGUGAUCUAGCCAUGGGCAGGUUGAAGGUUGGGUAACACUAACUGGAGGACCGAACCGACUAAUGUUGAAAAAUUAGCGGAUGACCUGUGGCUGGGGGUGAAAGGCCAAUCAAACCGGGAGAUAGCUGGUUCUCCCCGAAAGCUAUUUAGGUAGCGCCUCGUGAAUUCAUCUCCGGGGGUAGAGCACUGUUUCGGCUAGGGGGCCAUCCCGGCUUACCAACCCGAUGCAAACUGCGAAUACCGGAGAAUGUUAUCACGGGAGACACACGGCGGGUGCUAACGUCCGUCGUGAAGAGGGAAACAACCCAGACCGCCAGCUAAGGUCCCAAAGUCAUGGUUAAGUGGGAAACGAUGUGGGAAGGCCCAGACAGCCAGGAUGUUGGCUUAGAAGCAGCCAUCAUUUAAAGAAAGCGUAAUAGCUCACUGGUCGAGUCGGCCUGCGCGGAAGAUGUAACGGGGCUAAACCAU